UUUUUUUUGUUUGUUUGUCUAACUCUAGAGCAAAGUACUCAAAACAUAACUCAAUUUUCUGUUGUGAAGUACUACUAAAAUAUUCGUUAAAUUUGACCUGUGAUCAUAUAGGUCAGCUUUGAAGCGGUACUGAACGCGCGACAGGAACAGAGAACGAACGAAUGCAGUCAACUCCGUGAACAGAUUCGAUCGAGCAGAGCAGCAACUUAAUCGCGAUUCCAUUAGGUACGGGAAAGUAUAUAUGUAAUUCAUCCCAUUGAUGGCAACAGCCAGAAACAAGCCCACAACGAUCGAUCUCGGUUUGUACACAACAUCCAUAAAUUGGCCUGCUCAGCUAAUUAACCACCCUCACGAAUCCACCUAAGUAGUGCAUGCAUGAACCGGCGCCACCCGAUUCUCUGGCUGCACGCUAGUAGUAGUAGUACUGCUAGUUUAUUCUUCACUCCGGCGGG
rnacentral:lncRNA from 1 species